rnacentral:ncRNA from 1 species
UAAAACAAGUUCGGACGGAUCCGAAAGUCGUCGUCAUUGUCCCUAUCUACUAUCUAGCGAAACCACAGCCAAGGGAACGGGCUUGGAAUAAUUAGCGGGGAAAGAAGACCCUAUUGAGCUUGACUCUAAUCUGGCAGUAUAAGGAGACAUAAGAGGUGUAGAAUAAGUGGGAGAUAUUAGUCCUCGGUUUGGUAUCGUCAAUGAAAUACCACUACUCUUAUUGUUUCCUUACUUACUUGAUUAAAUGGAACGUUUAUCAUUUCCUAUCCAUUAUACGGAUAUAUUUAAUAUAUCUUAUGGUAUUGGGUUUUGAUGCAAGCUUCUUGAUCAA